rnacentral:lncRNA from 1 species
GGGAAACCUGGCAGAUGGAGAUUGCUUGUGGAAGAAUGCCCACUGAACUGUCCUUCCAACACUGUGUACGACCCCUGCUUCAGUGGCUGUCCAGCAACCUGUUCCUCUGCUGCGAGCACAUUGUCCUGCAAUACCACUUGCCAGGAAAUGUGUAGAUGUGCAGAUGGUCUUGUACUGGAUGGUGGGCACUGUGUGGAUCCAUCACAGUGUGGUUGCACUCUGGAUAGUGGUGUUUAUAUUCCGUCUGGAGGAGCAUGGACUGACCCAGGCUGCACACAACACUGCCUUUGUCGAGGUGGGCUUGCAGAGGGUUCCGAAUUCCAGUGUGGAGAGAA